rnacentral:rRNA from 1 species
UACGUAGGGGGCAAGCGUUGUCCGGAAUCAUUGGGCGUAAAGAGCGCGUAGGCGGCCCAGUCAGUCCGCUCUGAAAGUCAGGGGCUCAACCCCUGAAUGCGGGUGGAUACUGCUGGGCUAGAGUCCGGAAGAGGCGAGUGGAAUUCCUGGUGUAGCGGUGAAAUGCGCAGAUAUCAGGAGGAACACCGGUGGCGAAGGCGGUUCUCUGGGCAUGUCCUGACGCUGAGGAGCGAAAGUGUGGGGAGCGAACAGG